GCGGAGUUGGUCUAGCCUGGUUAGGAUGUCAGCCCCCCAAGCUGAAGGUCGCGGGUUCAAAUCCCGCACUCCGCA
rnacentral:tRNA from 1 species